GUAAUUUUACACUGGAAAUGAUAAAGCAACAAAAUUCUGACAAAAUCUAAUCUAUUUCGCUUUCCAGUGCGUGAUUAACUACAUUGCUGAAGACAUCCUCCAUAGAGCCGAAAUCUUUGGGUCCCAAUGACAUCAUAAAUCUUCAUGGCAUCUGAACAGAGGCUAGUCACCAUAUCCUCAAUAAUGUCCUUGUUGAUAGGAUCUGCUGAUAUGGCUCUCCAAUCUUCCCCAGCUUGUGCUGAGCUCCAUCCCUUUGUUGAAACUCAAUUUGGCACAUAAUCAUCAUCAUUCUAUAUUCUUCUUUGGAGCAAUGGAUGUGAAGAGUGAUGUUGCUGCGCAAGAGAGAUCCUUGAAGCAGGAGCCAUCAGCCACAAUGGUAUCUGGGCUUGUCCAGUUCAUUGUUCACAACUGAUUGGAUGGAGAUGAUUAACAAGCAGAGGAAUACCGGGUAGAUGGUCAAAAUGAUGUUCUGCUUGAUGUUUCUUCUCUGCACCAAAAAGGCCACAGAUAUCAGGGUUACUGAGAGGAGAAAAAAGAUGUGAACAUUCAUAACAAGCCACCGCAGCAGUGUAGAAGAGGAUGACAGAACAAUGGAAGUACAUGGCAACACAAGACAACAAAAACAUGGAGAAACAAGGAGGCAGAGAGCAUCAUGAAAUGUGCACCUGGUAGAUCAGGUUCUUCCUCAACAACGCAUCAGCUUGUGUAAGGAAAGAUGCAGUGCCGUAGGAAACCAUGGAGAGAGAGCACACAAGCCCACGCAUACAAGUGUUUUCACUGCAGCAUACAUCACCAGGAAACAGAUGCGUCCGUGGAGUGCGUAUGCAAAAUUCCAGUCUCUUUCUUUCUGAUCGAUAUGAGUUUUACUUCUUUC